AACGAACGCUGGCGGCGCGCCUAAUACAUGCAAGUCGAGCGAGAAGGUGUAGCAAUACACUUGUAAAGCGGCGAACGGGUGAGGAAUACAUGGGUAAUCUACCAUCGAGUGGGGAAUAACCAACCGAAAGGUUGGCUAAUACCGCGUACGCCUCCGAGUCUUCGGGUUCGGAGGGAAAGCUGCACUGUGAGUGUAGCGCUCUUUGAUGAGCUCAUGUCCUAUCAGCUUGUUGGUAGGGUAACGGCCUACCAAGGCUUUGACGGGUAGCUGGUCCGAGAGGACGAUCAGCCACACUGGCACUGCGACACGGGCCAGACUCCUACGGGAGGCAGCAGUAAGGAAUAUUGCGCAAUGGGCGAAAGCCUGACGCAGCGACGCCGCGUGGGGGAUGAAGGUCUUCGGAUUGUAAACCCCUUUCGGGAGGGAAGAUGGAGCGAGCAAUCGUUCGGACGGUACCUCCAGAAGCAGCCACGGCCAACUCGUGCCAGCAGCCGC
rnacentral:rRNA from 1 species